AGUGAACGCUGGCGGUAGGCCUAACACAUGCAAGUCGAACGGCAGCACAGAGGAGCUUGCUCCUUGGGUGGCGAGUGGCGGACGGGUGAGGAAUACAUCGGAAUCUACUCUGUCGUGGGGGAUAACGUAGGGAAACUUACACUAAUACCGCAUACGACCUACGGGUGGAAGCAGGGGACCUUCGGGCCUUGCGCGAUUGAAUGAGCCGAUGUCGGAUUAGCUAGUUGGCGGGGUAAAGGCACACCAAGGCGACGAUCCGUAGCUGGUCGGAGAGGAUUAUAAGCCAAAAUGGAACUGAGAAACGGUCCAGACUCCUACGGGAGGCAGCAGUGGGGAAUAUUGGACAAUGGGAGCAAGCCUGAUGCAGCCAUACCGCGUGGGUGAAGAAGGCCUUCGGGUUGUAAAGCCCUUUUGUUGGGAAAGAAAUCCAGCUGGCUAAUACCCGGUUGGGAUGACGGUACCCAAAGAAUAAGCACCGGCUAACUUCGUGCCAGCCGCCGCCGUAA
rnacentral:rRNA from 1 species